rnacentral:lncRNA from 1 species
UAUAGACGCUCCUACAACGUUAGGGCAACUGACCUCUGCCCAUUUACACAGCGACAGCCCUCAACGGUCUUUCUGCGGAGCCGGGUGGUGCUGCCCGCGAGCCCGGCUUGGGUCACUCCGUCACGCUCCCCUGGCUCGACACCAGGACAUGCCCAAGCCCCAGACCCAAACGAUGGGAGUGCUGGCCGAGACCUGGAGGGCUAUGAGCGAUCCUCGUUUUGGGGAGCCCGCCUUCCGCGCUUGGGGCGCUCAGCCAAGGCCAAAGAACUUGAGCUGGCGGGCUCCCAGCCGGGGCCGCGCCACCCGCGUCCAGGCCCGCAGACUCGGGGCGCUCAGGUGCCAGCCCGCCUUAGCUCGGCGCCUUCGCCGGCUCUCCGAGCCUCAGCAGCACACGCGCUCCCGGCCCCACCGCCGUGGUCCCCGCCUCUCCACCCGCGGUCCCAGCCAGGCUGCCCGCUCCUAAGAUGGCGGCGUCGGCGUCGGGGGGCGGUGCCCCACGUGGGGGCCGGCGGCCAAUGGGCUUCCGGUCUGCGCCUCCGGCCCGGCGCGGGAGGCGGAAGUGCCGCGGGCCGCCGCCUCCGUCCGGGCUGCGGCCCCUGCCGGUUACAUAACUCGUUGCGGGCUCCGCGCGGCCCCACUUCCCGGCUCCCGGCGACCCCAGGAUGCGCUGAGCCCCACGGCGUCGUCCGCUGCCGCCGGCUCCCGCCCGAGGUGAUGGAGGCCAGGACCUGGCGACGAGGCAAGGAUUUAACUCUGCAAUAAAUGUGGACAUUGGCUGCUUCAUUGAUCUGUUUUCACUUGCCGAGUCCUUGAGCCCUAUGAUUUUGUUACUCGUUUGUCCUGAAGGAAGAGGAUCACAGCCCCACACAGUAGUACCAGGAGUGCUUGUUAAUUGAAGUGUUGGAAUUGGAGAGAGCAUUGAAGGUUGCCGAUGUUUUGCCAGAACGCUGAAGGCAGAAAACCUCUAGUUAAUGCUUAACUGACUGAACCCGGAAAGUUACGUGAUUCCUGGCCUUGAGUAGAGAUACCACAAUCCCUGUAGUACUUUGUGAUGUAGAGAUAAGUUUGAGAAGUUCUUUGGCCAAUAGUAUUGGCCUGCGAGGCAGGAGGAAGGGGAGUCUUGAACAGCAUUGAAUUAAAAGAGGCUGAAGCAGAAAAAAAAAAAAAAAGAUUCUUUCUCUCACACACAUGUGCACGCACACACACACACCCUGAAUUGCUGAAACUCAAAGGUGGCUGGAAUAUGAGUCCCAGUCAUCUUUCCAAAUGGAUGGAUCAUCAUGGCAGUGCACAUAGGUCUUCAUCUCACCUAUUCUAGGAUUUUGCAGCCAUCAGAAUUAAUGUGCAAAUUGGCUCUUUGAGAGUGCACUGUGCGUGAGUUCCUUCUCCAUUGGGCCAUGGUUUGCUGGAGUUCCAUCCCACUGAGCUUGCACUGGAUGUCUGUGAGGGCGCUUAAAACCUGAAGGUAACAAAGUCAAGGCAUAGUCUGGUAUCAACAAGCCAGAAUAAAAAAUACAGACACUUUUUUAAAAGGUCUGUG